rnacentral:rRNA from 1 species
UACGUAGGGUGCAAGCGUUGUCCGGAAUUAUUGGGCGUAAAGAGCUCGUAGGCGGUUUGUCGCGUCGGCUGUGAAAACCUGGGGCUCAACCCCGGGCCUGCAGCCGAUACGGGCAAGCUAGAAUUCGGUAGGGGAGACUGGAAUUCCUGGUGUAGCGGUGAAAUGCGCAGAUAUCAGGAGGAACACCGGUGGCGAAGGCGGGUCUCUGGGCCGAUAUUGACGCUGAGGAGCGAAGGCGUGGGGAGCAAACAGG